ACACUCCUACGGGAGGCAGCAGUGGGGAAUAUUGGACAAUGGGCGCAAGCCUGAUCCAGCCAUGCCGCGUGAGUGAUGAAGGCCCUAGGGUUGUAAAGCUCUUUCACCGGUGAAGAUAAUGACGGUAACCGGAGAAGAAGCCCCGGCUAACUUCGUGCCAGCAGCCGCGGUAAUACGAAGGGGGCUAGCGUUGUUCGGAUUUACUGGGCGUAAAGCGCACGUAGGCGGACUAUUAAGUCAGGGGUGAAAUCCCGGGGCUCAACCCCGGAACUGCCUUUGAUACUGGUAGUCUUGAGUUCGAGAGAGGUGAGUGGAAUUCCGAGUGUAGAGGUGAAAUUCGUAGAUAUUCGGAGGAACACCAGUGGCGAAGGCGGCUCACUGGCUCGAUACUGACGCUGAGGCGCGAAAGCGUGGGGAGCAAACAGGAUUAGAAACCCGAGUAGUCCCAUGAU
rnacentral:rRNA from 1 species